rnacentral:lncRNA from 1 species
UACCCCCGGCCUCUCCAGCCCUCUCUCCACCAGGCAGAGACCCUCUGGAAUGUGAGCCAGCACCAAGCCUCACAACAGCUUCCCCUCAUCCUUAGGCUGGAAGCCAACGUCCUCAGGGUGCCAUCAAGGCCACAUGGCCGGACAGCCUCCUCUACAGCUGCCCGUCUUCCUUGGAUUAUGGGCUGCAGCCACACUGACCUUCCUGCUGCCCUCGGACACCAGAGAUGUGCUCUGAGCACUGGCUCAUGCCACUCCUGCCGGAAUAGCUUCCCUCCAGCUUCCCGCCCUGGCCCCUCACUCCUGUGCCCUGCAGGAGCCCCCCACAACCCCCCCAGCCCCAGCAGGAACCCCACAAGCCCUGCACACCCAUUUCCUUCUCUCCAAGGUUCCUCUCACAGUGUGACAUCACAGACGUUCUUGCUUCUUUCCGUCUCCCACAGGAGAGAGUGCAUUUCCUGAGAACGAGUCGUGGUCUGUUCUCCACUCCAGGGCCCAUGCCUGCUUGGAGCCCUGCCUGGCAGAUCGGAGGACUCGAAGAAUACUAAUGAUUGAACAAACACUUCAGGUUUUUUAAUGAAAAAAGUAAAUAAGGGAGUCUCCCUCAUAACUGUAUAGGCAAAUUCAAUUUCCAAAUGAUUCAUUUGGCAUGAAAAUAUGGCAAAAGCAUUCUUCCAAGAGUUAAACAAACAAACAAACAAAAAAACUAUUUGAAACAGCAAUUUCACUCCUGGGCAUACAGCCGACAGAAUUGAAUCAGGGACUCAAAUAUCUGUGUGCACAUCAGCAUUAGUCACACAGUGGGCACAAGGUCCAAAAAAUCUCCACCCACCCCUGCAUGGGUAAACAAAACACGGUGCAUGCAUGCAAUAGAAAAGUAUUUAGCUGCAAAGGAACAAAAUUCAGAUACAUGCUAUGACUUGGGGGACCAUGAAGACAUGCUCAGUGAACUACACCCAACACCAAAGACCAGCACGGCAGGAAUCCACCCAGACCAGGUACUUCAAACAGGUAAAUGCACAGAGAUGCUUGAAACUAGGAGCAGGUCCCAGUGGCCAGUAGGUGUGUGGGUGUCAUUGCUUAAUGGUUACAGAACUUCUUUGAGGGUGAUAAAAAUAUACUAAAAGAAAAUUUUAUAGCAGUUACUGUAUUUGCCCUGAUUUUAUGAAAUUAGAUUAAUUUAUCCUGAGAUUUUUUUUAUUAGAUGAAUCAGCACUAGUAAGAGUCUUUUAUCAUCUGUUUAACUUAACAUUCUAACAAAAUUCCUGAUUUAACAUUCUUUAUUGGUUUUAUAAAAAUGAGUUCUGAUAAUUAUGUACAUAAGCCAGAGAUGCUUGAUUUAUUAUGCAAAGAAGAGAAAACACAUCAGAUGCUGGAUUCUUAUUUUCCCAAUGUCAUUUGUGGAUAUUACUCAAAGUUUUAUCCAUAUAUUACUUCUGUUCCCUCAAGAUAAAAAAAAAAAAUUCACUCUACAAAUGUUUGUCAAAAUUGGGAGCACUUUAACAAAUAGCUCUCAAAUAUAGCACCUCUAACGUGUCAUUAAACAUUCUCCUUUGAAUAUAAUUUAGACCUUUUUGGUUACAUCAGGAAAUUCACUAAUACAUUUCCAUAAAUUACAAUAAAUAAUGUCCUGCUCAACUUAUAGGGUUCCACUCCCGUGUGACGUGAAUAACUCAAGCUCAGCACUCUUCCUCCCUGGGUGUCCCCAGUUUUUCAUUCCAGGGAAACUCAUUAGGGACAGCAGUGAGUCCCUGCUGUGUUCUAGUGUCACUGUGUGUGUAGAGGGGGUUGGAGGGAGAUCCGAGGCCCGAAGUUCUGGAGAGAUCUCAUCACCGUCACAGGAGACCCACAGAGUCGUUACGGUGGCAUUCCCACCUGGGCCACUCAACAGAAAAUGCUUCAGUGAAGGCCCCAGCGCUUCGCAAAGCCUGUCACUCAUCCUCGAUGGGGGAGAAGGACUUAGACGGGACUAGGGCAGAUGCUUGCUUAAUUGUCAAGCACUUUUUCAAAUUAAUGAUGGCAAAUGACAUUGAAUUUGCACCAAUGUCAAUGAUUCGAAAUAGCCAUUUAAAAAAUUUUUUAAAUGGUGAAUCUUAGGCUUGAAAUGCUUACAUUUAAGGACAGAAAAAAUCUGACCUGUGGUGUAGGACUGUGGCCAUCACAGGCUGGAACGCUGUGGCUGACCUGGGGCAGAACCCAGACUUUCUGAGGGAGCACUGAGAUGAGGUACUGCCCAGUGGCCUCUAGAGCCUUGCAGAGCCGUAGGAAGUCGGUUCUGUCAGGGGGAAAGAAGCAGAGCCUGGAACCCGUGGCCUGUGCCUGAGAGGUGGGGCAGGAAUGGCCAGAAAUUAGCAGCGUCCUGUCUUCCCUGGUCUGGGCCUUUGGGAAUCCUGGGGCUCCACCCAGCUGCACGUCUCCCAAGCUCUCGGGCCUUAGCUAAGUCACUGGUCCUCACCAUGCCUCACUUUACAUCUGCAGAAUGGGUUCCAGGUAACAUCUACCUCCUGCGAACAUAUGAGAUGAUCCAGAGGAGACGCUGAGCCCCGUGCUGCCUGACAGCGCUCCCUAGACCUUAUCCACUGGAAAAGAAACUGCGCUCAGAACAUGAGCCUCCCAUCACCCCUAACCAUCCACGAGAGACAUCAGAGGAAUCCCACUGAUGGGCCCUCCAUGAAGUGCAGCGAGUUCUCCAAACUGUGGAGGUCUUGGAAAACAAAGAAGGUCCAGGCAGCUAUCACAGCCGAGCGGAGCCUAGAGAGACCUGGGCAAACUACUAACUGCAGUGUGGUGACCUGGGUGGAGUGCGACGUCCUGGAUGGGGUGCUGGGACAGUAAAGGACACUAGGGAGGAGCUAAGGAAGUAGAAUGGAGUUUUCACUUUAGUUAACAGCUUCAUUGACUCUAACAAAUAUGUCACUGAUGUGGAAUGUCAAUCAUACGGGGAGAGGAGAGAGAAGUAUUAUCUUGGAAGUUUUCUGUGACUCUAAACUAUUGCUAAAUUAAAACUGUAUCCAAAAGAAGGGGAGGGUUUAAACCUCUCCCAAUGACACACACCUGCUAUGAAGCAAAGCUAUGUUCUGGACCCACUUCAUAGCAACCGGGAGCCCACCUGGAGCCAUCCUGGGCCACAUUAGGACUGUGGCAAGCCAGGAGAGGAGGAGCCUGAGGAUGUCGGAUGCCUUGCCGGCUGGGAUACCAGACUGCACUCAGGUAGGGGCUAGUGAUAGGGAAGGACUGUGAGGUGGGGGGCAGCCACCAAGUACGAGCAGAGCUGUGAGGACAGGCUCUCCCUGUCCACAGACCACAGGAGGGAACCAAGUGGGUGUCCAGGACAAGCCCUGUCCUCUGGCCACAUGCACUGUGGAGAGGCUGCAGGCAAGCCAGGCUCGUCUUUAUGAAGUUGC